UUUAAGCUUCCUACGGGAGGCUGCAGUGGGGAAUCUUAGACAAUGGGGGAAACCCUGAUCUAGCCAUGCCGCGUGAUCGAUGAAGGCCUUAGGGUUGUAAAGAUCUUUCAGGUGGGAAGAUAAUGACUGUACCACCAGAAGAAGCCCCGGCUAACUCCGUGCCAGCAGCCGCGGUAAUACGGAGGGGGCUAGCGUUGUUCGGAAUUACUGGGCGUAAAGCGCACGUAGGCGGAUCAGAAAGUCAGAGGUGAAAUCCCAGGGCUCAACCUUGGAACUGCCUUUGAAACUCCUGAUCUUGAGGUCGAGAGAGGUGAGUGGAAUUCCGAGUGUAGAGGUGAAAUUCGUAGAUAUUCGGAGGAACACCAGUGGCGAAGGCGGCUCACUGGCUCGAUACUGACGCUGAGGUGCAUGGGGCGUGGGGAGCAAACAGGAUUAGAUACCCUUGUAGUCGAAUUCU
rnacentral:rRNA from 1 species